UUGCAAAUUGCCAGAGAGUGAUUUUCCCAUUCCUUUACAGACAUUCUGCUUACUUUUUUUGGAUACCCUACUGGAUUUCAUCCUUUCUGUCACUCAAUUUCAGAAAACUUAGUCUUAUAAUUUUCAGCAAGCUUAAAGACAAGACAAGGACUUUUUAUGUUGGGCGUCUUCUGGAAUCACCAUACAGAAUAAAGGCCCCUUUGAGAGAAUCCUUUCAACCUUUGCAGUGACUGGAAAUCUAAGAGCAGCAAGGAAAAGAUCUUGCUCCUCUGCUUUUGACAGAUGCCUGCAAAAUGUCAUCAGACCUUUGUGUGGACCUGUUUGGGUCUUUGAGAGAAAAGGUUUCAGCCUCUCAGGAGCAGAGAUUUACAUCCAAGGAGUUCUAUUGGCCCUGCACCAACGAGUAAAUCCUGCAAAGUGUUGCAAACAGGAUUUACACAACCCUGCCCAGUUCUAGCAUUGAGAGCUUUUAAUACUGAAACAGAAGCAACAAACAAGAAAUAUUCCUGGGUGAUUUGAUUAGAAAAAUAAAAUCACUGUCUGAGAGAGACA
rnacentral:lncRNA from 1 species